AUUGAACGCUGGCGGCAGGCCUAACACAUGCAAGUCGGACGGUAACAGGAAGAAGCUUGCUUCUUUGCUGACGAGUGGCGGACGGGUGAGUAAUGUCUGGGAAACUGCCUGAUGGAGGGGGAUAACUACUGGAAACGGUAGCUAAUACCGCAUAACGUCGCAAGACCAAAAAGGGGGACCUUCGGGCCUCUUGCCAUCGGAUGUGCCCAGAUGGGAUUAGCUAGUAGGUGGGGUAACGGCUCACCUAGGCGACGAUCCCUAGCUGGUCUGAGAGGAUGACCGGCCACACUGGAACUGAGACACGGUCCAGACUCCUACGGGAGGCAGCAGUGGGGAAUAUUGCACAAUGGGCGCAAGCCUGAUGCAGCCAUGCCGCGUGUAUGAAGAAGGCCUUCGGGUUGUAAAGUACUUUCAGCGGGGAGGAAGGGAGUAAAGUUAAUACCUUUGCUCAUUGACGUUACCCGCAGAAGAAGCACCGGCUAACUCCGUG
rnacentral:rRNA from 1 species